UGAUAAUUAGUUUAAACAAAACAAAUGAUUUCGACUCAUUAGACUGUGGGUAUCUCCACAAUUAUCAA
rnacentral:tRNA from 1 species